AAUCUGUGAAGAGAAAACAAUGUGAAAUACUAAAGCAGCAAAGACCUUUUCACAUACUGUUAAUCCAUUUGAAAACAUUAAAAGGAAAGCAAGCUCAUAUGGUCAGUUUUUUUAUUUAUUAUUUAUUUUGUUGGGGGUUGGGGAACUUGUGAGUGAUCAGCAAACGUAAUUGUAUUAUCAUCAAUUCUAGGGAUCAACUAGAUUACUUCACCUUGCCUUUAAGUACUUCAGAUAAAGCACUUACGUACAUGAUAACAAGACUUGUGAUUGAAUUCGUAAAGAACAUGACAAAGAAUUGUGAUUCCAGGAGUCAAUAAAUGUGAAGAGAAUAUAGAAGAGAUUCUAAUACGAAGAGAAUUCUAACAACAUCAAAUCUGAAAUGAUACUUACAUCGAUGACAUGUGAAAUUGUUUGUACAUGGAAAAACUCCACGUCUGGUUUUAGUCAAGAAAAAAUGUAAACAAAACAGAUUAGCUCCAUAUCGUUGCCAAGUGAGGUCAACAACAGUAGAGUAACAAAUGGCUGUCGUGAGAAGAUUUCUUGCUUUCAUUGAAAAGCAAAUGGCACCAUCAAAACAGAAAUGAAGAUUUAAUGAUAGAAUGACCAGCUAUAUGCGCAAAAUACUUCAUGUAGAGGUAAUUACCUUCGUAACUUUUUUUGUUUUUAAAGGAAUUACCACUGUAACUUAAGCUGGUAUAAUAGGAAAGAAAAAGGGAACUUACAAGUUAUUUUCCACUGAAGAACUCCGGAACAAAUUCAGAUUUAGAUUCCUAGUUAAAAAAUGAUACAUCUAUCAGGACUUAGAUCCAUCACAGGAUAUACAUGGAGGUAAACAGAAUCAGAUAAUUAUUCACUUAAGAGAAAUAUACUGACGGUUUCUCACGGCAAGCAGGCUGCUCAGGACUCUGCCAAGUGAAAUUAUUGUAAGAAAGGUCCCUGCAUGCAAGAAAGAAACAACGAUCUUUUCAUUGUAGAUGGAAAUUUAAUUUAAAAUGAUGAAGCAAUUGAAAGAUACAAGAGAAUGUCUUUGUGUUUGACACAACCCCCUCACUGCUAUCCUCAUCAAAUGAAAAAGCUAAACCUCAAAAUUGUUUUGUUUCUAAUAUGUGCUAGUUGUGAUAUGUGAUGUGCUCCACAAAGCCUAACAUAAUGGCUUGUUCAUAUGCCUCCAGCAAACUCAUUUUCAACAAUAGUAAAUUAACAGAUUAACAAAUUUAUAGAGCUUAACGAUGGAUAACAAAUGCACGUUACAAGGAUUGAUGCUCAUAAACUCCUCUGAUAAACAUAAGAAUCUAAAAUCCAAGAGAUAAGGUACACACACAUUAGUUCCUUUCUUCAGGAUUGACUCCGGUACAUUCCCUUGGAUAGAAUUGCCGGUAAGAAAGCUGAUAAAGGCCAGAUCAAGCAGUUAGUAUCUGGACAUUUGAAAAUUAGAAUAGUAAAAUUAAAACUUUUGUUUCAGUAACUUGCGUGAAUUUCAAAUCGGCUGGGAGUGCAACAUCGGGAAGUUCCCCAGUUAGAUGAUUAAAGCUGAGAUCCCUAUAAAAGCCAAAAAAAAAAAAAAAAGAGCGAGAAUAAAAAUUUAUACGUGUGCUAAUUAGAGACCCUAACUACAUAUGAUGAUCUGCACAAUAGAACAUAGGUAAUCGAAAAGUAAGUAAGUAACAUACUUACAGAAACCGAAGAUUUUUUAUUCCCCAUAUAUAUUCAGGUAUCUCUCCAGCUAUAUUACAGUUCCUCAAAAUUCUGGAAAUCCAUCAACAAUCAAAUCAGAUGAAGCAAUUUUGAGGUGAAUAAACUCCAUUAAUGUGAUAAAAAUGAAGAGUCAUACAUCCGUGUAAGGCCUGUCAUGUUUCUAAGCAUCGGAAAAGUCUGAUUCAUUCCUUGCAAGUCACUAAUCCUCCUGUUCAUAUAAGUAUCGUCAUUAACAGAUCUUUUCAGCAAUAUUCAAUAUGCUAAACUAUUAUGACAAUGAAAGUAUUAAAUCAUUUGAAUUAUUGUAAAAGAAUACUUAUUAAAUUUUCACUGACAAUUGAUUUAGCUUAUCCAAAGCAGAGAUUGAUGGCGGAAUGGGUCCUUCAAGUCCACUACCUUGAAUUUCUCUGCAUUAAGUUAAGUAAAGCAAUCAAUAAUAUUUCAAGGGCCUGACAGUAACUUGAACAAUUUUGGCAUGUCGAAGAGCCUACAGUCUGUUAAGUUGUGUCCAGCUUUGUAUAAAAUCUGGCACACUCCCAUUGAAGUUGUUGUCAUUAAUCCUACUGCAUUGUCCAACAAGAACAAGAAUGAAUUAUGGCUUACACUUUCUGCCAAAUUUCAGAAUAUCCUCAGAAUAAACUUUUGAAAAGCUUACAAGUCUGUUAAAUUUUUCAGCUUCACAAGUUCCAUUGGUAAAUUUCCAAUCAAUCUAUUGGAUGAUAGUCUCCUGCAAUAAAAUGUAGAUUAUCCUCCGAUGAAUAUGCUGAUAACGGACAAAAACUGAACGUAAAGAAACCCCAUAAAUGCCUUACAAGGUUUCCAAGUUAACGAAAUUCCCAAGCUCUUGAGGUAUUGUUCCUGAAAAUUGGUUUUCUUCAAGGUCCCUGGUAAACAGAUCCAUUGAGAUUUCUAAUAAUCGCAGAACAUAUUGGUAUAAAAACUUAAAGGACUCUUACCUGCAAAUUUGCACAUACACAUGAACAAAGAAAAUAUUCUGAGGAAUAAUUAAGCAUAAGACUUCUAGUUUAUCUCCUUGAAGAAACAAGAAUUUUGUUCUCUCAGUCAAAGAAAUAAAAAAUAAUUGGAAAAUUCAUGAAAUUUAAAAUAAUGAAAAACUAUAAUCAGUUCAUUUCUGCAAGUCCAUCAACUGGAUAUUGUAGUCAUGAUGAGUUUUCGAAGCUUACAAGUAUGUGAGACUAGUAAUGUUCCCCAAAUGGCUUGGAAUAUUGCCUGACAAUCGGUUUGCAAAAACAGAUCUGCAUGGACAAUUCCAAUAUGGUUAAUUCAGUGAGACAAACAAAAUUUUAUUUGCUCGACUGAUAGAAAGAUGCAGAUAUAGCUUACAUAUACUUCAGUUGCAUCGAGGCCCAUUCACGUGGUAUCGAACCAUGCAGAUAGUUGUAAGCAAAAUCACUGCAUUCCACAACAAUAUCAAUCAAAUUUACAAAUUGGUCUGUAAAAGAAAGAAGGAAACGAAGAUAUUCAUAAUGCAGUAGACUAAUAGGGGUGCAUUUAGUUACAUUUUUGGCAUGGGUCUAUUUUUUGGUUCUGUUCAAAUGAAAGAGAAGUACAGUUUUAAAAAGUUGCCUGAUUUUUAGUGUUUACGCUUUGUAAAAGAACCAUAGACCAGCUAAAAAAACAUUUUCAAUCGAUAAAUUUCCUCCAGCCACAAGGUUUUGUUAUGAUUGUUUUAGUUUCAGUUCUCUCUUCCUGAAGCAGUUACUCAUCUAUUUGAAAGAUUCCAAACCUUCUUGUCUUCCGCUCUUGGUUCUAAAAUAGUGUCUCCAACAGAAGAUACCCAACACCAAGAUAAUGAGACAUGAUCCUAUAAUAACGCCAGCAACAAUUGGUGCAAUCGUCUUUUUUCCUGCCCCAUAGAGGGGUUUGAAGUCUGCCAGAAAGCAUAAGCCAAGAAAUUAUGAUAAUCAGAAACAACAAACAUAGGAAGAAAGAAUGACUGUGAGUAUUCAAGACUAUAUCGAUUAGUUGGAUGUUUGCUUUAAAUUUUCAAAUGGUUUUCUACCAUAGGUGCUGUGGCUUACAGUUCUUAGAUUUCACACUACUGGAGCACUUGAACUUUUAUUCUCAAAAUGAUUGUACAACAUGUCACAUUGUUAGCCCGACAUGGGACAUGGAAGAAGUGGAAAAGAAAAUCACUCACUGGGAUCCACAGAAAUAGCUGAUAUAAGAGGCCCAUAAACUCCACCACUAGGAAUUGCAGUAGUGCCUUUGCCAGCCCAUUGGAAGCGAAUCUCUAAAAUGUGAUUGGAAACAUUGGCAGUGAAUGGUCUCGUGACUGGCUUAAGAACUCCAUGAGCUUCAGCUUCAAUGUUAAAAUCCUUCUCAACUAAUUUGUCCUGCAACAUAGCAAACCAACAAAAUUUGUAUUUGUUAUCCUGAAAGAAACAAACUCCAUAUGACCAAGUGACCAAGAAAAUGGGCUCUCAAGAAUAGCUUUAAACAUAUCACACAACUAGAGACAUCUCACAAGAUGGUACAUUUUGAAUGGAACACAUCUGGCACAAAAUUAUAAUAUACAAGCCCACAACCCAUCAUCUGAUUCUCAGGCAUCACAGCCUGAGUUGACUCUGAUGAAAAUAUAUUUCUUGAUUGUCAUAAAGUACCUGGAUAUAAAUAUCAAAUAUGCGCCUGCCAAGGGUUUUAUAUGUUUUGUCAUUUGUGAAUUGGAUCUCCGCAAAGUGUAGAGCCACUGAAUAAUUCCCAUUUUCUAAACAAUAUCCAAUAUAAGUAAGCGAAAGAGGAGAAAUACGUGCAUCAAUGUACAAUUCAGAAAUCCCUGAUGACUGUGAAUUUGCAAUAUAAUUAGUAUUUUGCUCAUCAUCAUCAUCUGUGAAAUCUCCUGUGCUACUGAUUCCCCAGUUAGUACCAUCCAGUAAAUGGUAUGUUGCAGCACCACCACCAACUCCUGCAUCUCCUUCGAAUGUGCUGUCAUUUACUUUUACAUUACCUCCACCACAAUUAAUGUGCAAAGAGUGCCAAUCUGUGAAGAGAAAACAAUGUGAAAUACUAAAGCAGCAAAGACCUUUUCACAUACUGUUAAUCCAUUUGAAAACAUUAAAAGGAAAGCAAGCUCAUAUGGUCAGUUUUUUUAUUUAUUAUUUAUUUUGUUGGGGGUUGGGGAACUUGUGAGUGAUCAGCAAACGUAAUUGUAUUAUCAUCAAUUCUAGGGAUCAACUAGAUUACUUCACCUUGCCUUUAAGUACUUCAGAUAAAGCACUUACGUACAUGAUAACAAGACUUGUGAUUGAAUUCGUAAAGAACAUGACAAAGAAUUGUGAUUCCAGGAGUCAAUAAAUGUGAAGAGAAUAUAGAAGAGAUUCUAAUACGAAGAGAAUUCUAACAACAUCAAAUCUGAAAUGAUACUUACAUCGAUGACAUGUGAAAUUGUUUGUACAUGGAAAAACUCCACGUCUGGUUUUAGUCAAGAAAAAAUGUAAACAAAACAGAUUAGCUCCAUAUCGUUGCCAAGUGAGGUCAACAACAGUAGAGUAACAAAUGGCUGUCGUGAGAAGAUUUCUUGCUUUCAUUGAAAAGCAAAUGGCACCAUCAAAACAGAAAUGAAGAUUUAAUGAUAGAAUGACCAGCUAUAUGCGCAAAAUACUUCAUGUAGAGGUAAUUACCUUCGUAACUUUUUUUGUUUUUAAAGGAAUUACCACUGUAACUUAAGCUGGUAUAAUAGGAAAGAAAAAGGGAACUUACAAGUUAUUUUCCACUGAAGAACUCCGGAACAA
rnacentral:lncRNA from 1 species